GCCGCAAUAGCUCAGCUGGGAGAGCGUUAGACUGAAGAUUCCGCGGACUUCGCGGCUCAUCACGUGAUCUACAGGUCACCCGUUCGAUCCGGGUUUGUGGCA